AUGUUUGGUUAUGUUGUUGUUAAUGAACAAAAUUCAAUUGUUUUUCUUGAUGGGAAUGAAGAAUUCAAGACUAUUUUUCAAAGCUUAAUUCAAUCUGAAAUUACAAGCAGAAAAUCUGACCUAGAUUCUGCAUCAAGUGGAGUUGGAAGUUCUACGUGUACAGAAGAACAAGAAUCAUCGUUAGAUCACUUCAAGAAGCCUAAUGUUGUAUUUAAUUCAUCUGAAAUUUCACAUAUUCUUCUCCCCUUAAUACUUCUGUACAGGUCGACGAGUGAAAAAACAAAAGAUCCCAUCACUGAGAUGUCUUCACAAUUUGGAACAAUAUCAAUUUCAAAGUUUUAUCACAAUUAUCUAGUGUUGGUGUUUGCCAAUGACGAUCGCAAGCGAAUCGAAGUCUCUCAAACAAUCGAACAUACAAUAGCGACGUUAUUUGGUCCAUUAAUUGCUUUUUGUCACACUGAUCUCACGACCGUAAAGAAACCGAAAGAGCAUCUUGCCUGUGCAUUGACGCGAAAAUUGUCAUACAGCCCAAAAUGUUAGUUUUGAUUAUGGUUUACACUACUAGUAGUUUAUUGUGUAUCAACAAAACUGAAUACGCUUGUUUUGUAAUUUUCUGCACUAGAAAGACGUUGGUAGCAGAAUAAAGUUCAAAUGUCGUUGGUCACAAAGAAAAACUAACUAUUUUAAGGAUUUGGUUUAGUACUUAUUCGCUUUUUGCGUUAAUAACGGGUUUUCUGUUUCAGCAUUCAUUGAUAUCCGACGAAAAUUAUUUUACUUCGACAAAAUAGCCAAGUUGAAGGAUACGUUUCAUAAAAUUUCUUCUCAAUUGAACGUGUUUGUUGACAACAAUAGAUGUCUGUUACUUUCUAAGGGUGACAUCAUUGCUACUUACAACUCUGUUGAAGGUAACGAUGACGUUUUGAAAGGGCUCAACACAAACGAUCUACUAAACAUUGUAUCAAACACGUCGAAAUGUGAUGCAAACACUAAGAUUGAGCAGUUUUGGCUUCGAUCAACGACAGGCCUAAUUCCAUAUUAUGUCAAUGUUAUCAGUGCGACAGUUUUCAAAAACAUGACAUUAGUCUGUCUCGUGGAAUCGUCAGAAAACACAUUGAUCAGAUACUUAUAUUUGUUCUCAAAACAGUUGGAUCAGCUCAGAAUAAGUCAAGAUCUGAAUAGAGAUUUGAAAGAAGUCCGCAAAACAAUUAAUGAUAUUCACAUACUACUUCUCAGUAGAAAACCGCUUCCCGACACAUACUGUGCUGCAUUCAUGAGAAAUCCAUUAAGGGCAUCUUCGUUUUUCAAGUCUAUAUGGAAUCAAAUCGAGACGGAGGUACUUCAAAUCAACAGGCACUCAGCAACACCAACUCAGAAACCUAGAUCGGAAUCAAGAUUUUCAAUAAGUUCUUGGAGAAGUGCCCUUUCGACAAUGUCACUUAGUUCGUCGGUGUUUACCAGAAUAACCAUGGACGACAAGACGAUGACUCAAAAAAUGGAUAUUCUACUUUCCUACGGAAAAAAGCAAAUUAAUUCAUUGAUACAAGAGCUGUGUUCUAUAAGUAUUGCUAAUGCGAAACUAUCUACACUCCCUCUAUUCAAUCAGUGCUUGGAAAAAACUGUAAAACCGAACUCAGUCAAAGCCGUUGAUUCUUUAGGAAUAGGUUCAAAAGAACAAGAGGAUAAAUUAGAAAAGUUUUUGAAACCAUCAGAGUUUUUCUUAGAAAUGUAUGCUUAUCGAAUACAGUUUGACGAUUUGAAACAAGAAAUUACAUACAUCUCAGAUGAAUACAAAGAAAAUGUAAACUGGAUUCGACAGCUAAAAAGUGCAAAUCGAUUCAGUUGUGAUUAUCUUCGGAACUCUGGAGAAAAGUUUAUGAUAUUUCAUUUCAAUCUACCAAAUUUGAAUCAGAAAUCUACCGAAUGUCGUUCAAAUAUCAGAAUGACAGCUGUUUUCCCAGAAUAUAUGAAUAAAAAUCUCGCCGAAAAGCAAACGAAUAAGUUGUUGGAAUGCGUGUUAAAACAGUUAAAAUAA
rnacentral:misc_RNA from 1 species